rnacentral:rRNA from 1 species
AUGAACGCUGGCGGCGUGCCUAAUACAUGCAAGUCGAGCGAACAGACGAGGAGCUUGCUCCUCUGACGUUAGCGGCGGACGGGUGAGUAACACGUGGAUAACCUACCUAUAAGACUGGGAUAACUUCGGGAAACCGGAGCUAAUACCGGAUAAUAUAUUGAACCGCAUGGUUCAAUAGUGAAAGACGGUUUUGCUGUCACUUAUAGAUGGAUCCGCGCCGCAUUAGCUAGUUGGUAAGGUAACGGCUUACCAAGGCAACGAUGCGUAGCCGACCUGAGAGGGUGGUCGGCCACACGGGAACUGAGACACGGUCCAGACUCCUACGGGAGGCAGCGGUAGGGAAUCUUCCGCGAUGGGCGAAAGCCUAACGGAGCAACGCCGCGUGAGGGAUGAAGGUCUUCGGAUCGUAAAACUCUGUUAUUAGGGGAGAACAAAUGUGUAAGUAACUAUGCACGUCUUGACGGUACCUAAUCAGAAAGCCACGGCUAACUACGUG